UCAAACUUGGUCAUUUAGAGGAAGUAAAAGUCGUAACAAGGUUUCCGUAGGUGAACCUGCGGAAGGAUCAUUAACAAAUUACAAACACUCGUGUUGCCCUCUUGCUGUGGCACGCCGCUCUGUUCAGUCUUGGGCAGGUGCGUGUUUUCACAAGGGGGACGUUUACACAUAUACACAUCUUGAUGGACAAUUUGAUCUGAUGAUGGCUGUAUUGUGCAUGUCGCACGUCUUGUACGUGUGUUCUCAUGCCGGCAGCCUCGUCGACCAUUACACGCUAAUGGAAACAACUUUUAACAAUGGAUCUCUUGGCUCUUGCAUCGAUGAAGAACGCAGC
rnacentral:misc_RNA from 1 species